AACGAACGCUGGCGGCAUGCCUAACACAUGCAAGUCGAACGAGACCUUCGGGUCUAGUGGCGCACGGGUGCGUAACGCGUGGGAACCUGCCCUUAGGUUCGGAAUAACUCCCCGAAAGGGGUGCUAAUACCGGAUAAUGUCUUCGGACCAAAGAUUUAUCGCCUUUGGAUGGGCCCGCGUUGGAUUAGCUAGUUGGUAGGGUAAAAGCCUACCAAGGCGACGAUCCAUAGCUGGUCUGAGAGGAUGAUCAGCCACACUGGGACUGAGACACGGCCCAGACUCCUACGGGAGGCAGCAGUGGGGAAUAUUGGACAAUGGGCGAAAGCCUGAUCCAGCAAUGCCGCGUGAGUGAUGAAGGUCUUAGGGUUGUAAAGCUCUUUUACCCGGGAUGAUAAUGACAGUACCGGGAGAAUAAACUCCGGCUAACUCCGUG
rnacentral:rRNA from 1 species